AUGCUAGAAUUUCACGGAUGCAUUGCCCCUGCCGUGUUUGAUCAACUUGAACGAAGUGUGCAUGGCAGUAUGGAAAUAGCCUUGUCGCUUGCUUGCACAUGCAUGGCAGGGAAUCUCCUUUCCUGCUUGAUGGGCCUGUGGUGUGAUGCCUUCUCCUUGUAUAUCUACCUACCUACCUACGGAAGAUGUACCCAGCAUGGCCAGCUUUUGCACCCGGAUCAGCAUGAAUCAGAUUUGGGCUUUUUCUUUGCUUUGGCUUUAGUUGCUUUGAGCAGGGAAGCACUGUCGCUUGGAACUUUUUGA
rnacentral:rRNA from 1 species